UGGGGAAUAUUGGACAAUGGGUGAGAGCCUGAUCCAGCCAUGCCGCGUGCAGGAAGAAGGCGUUAUGCGUUGUAAACUGCUUUUGCCAGGGGAUAAAAAGACCGUGCGCGGUUAAUUGAAGGUACCUGGUGAAUAAGCCACGGCUAACUACGUGCCAGCAGCCGCGGUAAUACGUAGGUGGCAAGCGUUGUCCGGAUUUAUUGGGUUUAAAGGGUGCGUAGGUGGCCCUGUAAGUCAGUGGUGAAAUAUCUCAGCUUAACUGAGAGGGUGCCAUUGAUACUGCAGGGCUUGAGUACAGAUGAGGUAGGCGGAAUUGACGGUGUAGCGGUGAAAUGCAUAGAUAUCGUCAAGAACACCGAUAGCGAAGGCAGCUUACCAAGCUGUAACUGACACUGAGGCACGAAAGUGUGGGGAUCAAACAGGAUUAGAUACCCCGGUAGUCCCUGAGCGGGCUGGCAAGGCGCAU
rnacentral:rRNA from 1 species